GGCACGGUGCCAUAGUGGUUAGUACUAUUAUCUCACAGCAAGAAGGUCGUGGGUUCGAUUCCAGCCUGGGGCC